rnacentral:rRNA from 1 species
GAAUCCCGUCUUUGACAUGGACUGCCAGAGCUCAACAGGUGCGCUCUCAAAGAGUCGAGUUGUUUGGGAAUGCAGCUCAAAAUGGGUGGUAAAUGCCAUCUAAAGCUAAAUAUUGGCGAGAGACCGAUAGCGAACAAGUACCGUGAGGGAAAGAUGAAAAGAACUUUGGAAAGAGAGUUAAACAGUACGUGAAAUUGCUGAAAGGGAAACGCUUGAAGUCAGUCGCGUCGGCUAGAAAUCAACCUUGCUUUUGCUUGGUGUACUUUCUUGUUGAUGGGUCAGCAUCAAUUUUGACCGUUGGAUAAAGUCGUUGGGAAUGUGGCAUCUUAGGAUGUGUUAUAGCCCAUCGUCGCAUACAGCGGUUGGGAUUGAGGAACUCAGCACGCCCUUCUGGGGACGGGUUUCGACCACGUUUCGUGCUUAGGAUGCUGGCAUAAUGGCUUUAAUCGACCCGUCUUGAAACACGGACCAAGGAGUCUAACAUGCCUGCGAGUGUUUGGGUGGAAAACCCAUGCGCGCAAUGAAAGUGAAAGUUGAGAUCCCCUCAAGGGGAGCAUCGACGCCCGGACCAGACCUUCUGUGACGGAUCCGCGGUAGAGCAUGUAUGUUGGGACCCGAAAGAUGGUGAACUAUGCCUGAAUAGGGUGAAGCCAGAGGAAACUCUGGUGGAGGCUCGUAGCGAUUCUGACGUGCAAAUCGAUCGUCAAAUUUGGGUAUAGGGGCGAAAGACUAAUCGAACCAUCUAGUAGCUGGUUCCUGCC